UUGGGGCAUGUGAUCUGACACACGUGGCUCAACAGAAGGGUGCAGGCAGUGAAGAUACACCAUAUCAUGAUGGAAUUCUUCACAGUAACGUCUGCUCANGAUUGGAUCCUCUCCCAAUUCAUUGGCUGGGGCAAUUAUCUUAUCAUCAACAUCAGUGAAAUUUCGAACAUAGCACACUUCGAAUCCCAAAUGCCUAAGAUAUCUGUAGAGAACAUAAAGUGACGUAGACGCGAGCGUGGCCAAUAUGGCUAAGAUCGUAAGCGGUAACACCACAAACGUACAUCCCAACUUUUCCAUCCACUUUGGGCUUAAAAAGCUCCUUCUUUCUGCUCAUUGUAUUGUAAAGCCACAGCUCCGCCGAUGAUAAUGAUGGGGUGACCGCUCCAUCACCAGCAUUAACUUUGUCGUUGAUUAAGGGCCGAUAUGAGCUGACAAGGCGACAUAAAGUUCGCUUCCUGGAGACGGAGAAGGUGCGAGAAAAGUGAGUUCGGAAUUGAAUUGAACGUAGCAGAGAGUGCGGUGGCGGAGAGAAGCGGAAAGAGGUGAGGGGCUUAUAGCACUUGAGGAGACUUCCCAUUUGCUCUGGCAGGGCUAAGGCCAGCUGUUCGUGGC
rnacentral:misc_RNA from 1 species